CCUACGGGCGGCAGCAGUGAGGAAUAUUGGUCAAUGGGCGAUAGCCUGAACCAGCCAAGUAGCGUGAAGGAUGACUGCCCUGUGGGUUGUAAACUUCUUUGAGAUGGGAAUAAAGUGCAGUAUGUAUACUGCUUUGUCUGUACUUUAUGAAUAAGGAUCGGCUAACUCCGUGCCAGCAGCCGCGGUAAUACGGAGGAUCCGGGCGUUAUCCGGAUUUAGUGGGUUUAAAGGGAGCGUAGGUGGGUUGUUAAGUCAGUUGUUAAAGUCUGCGGCUCAACCGUAAAAUUGCAAUUGAUACUGGCAGUCUUGAGUACAGUUGAGGUAGGCGGAAUUCGUGGUGUAGCGGUGAAAUGCUUAGAUAUCACGAAGAACUUCGAUUGCGAAGGCAGCUUACUGGGCUGCAACUGACACUGAUGCUCGAAAGUGUGGGUAUCAAACAGGAUUAGAUACCCGGGUAGUC
rnacentral:rRNA from 1 species